UUGUGUUUUAGCUUAUGUCCCCUCUAUGGCUGUUAGUUAUGGUAGUUACUGUAUGAUAUUAUUGCAUGAGAUUGUAUUUAUGUUCCGUAUGAUUAGAUAAUUAUUUACGCUAUUUCUGCUGGAGUUACUAAUGCUCUAUUGUUUUUGUUUUUGUCUUUGUUUUUGUUUUACUGCUGUUUUUCCUUUUAUCCUAUGAGCCGGGGGUCGAUUGGAAACAGCCUCUCUGCCCUUUUGGAUAGGGGUAAGGCUUGUUUAC
rnacentral:lncRNA from 1 species